CAGUCGCCGCGGUAAUACGUAGGGUGCGAGCGUUGAUCGGAAUUACUGGGCGUAAAGCGUGCGCAGGCGGUUUUGUAAGACAGGCGUGAAAUCCCCGGGCUCAACCUGGGAAUGGCGCUUGUGACUGCAAAGCUAGAGUGCGGCAGAGGGGGAUGGAAUUCCGCGUGUAGCAGUGAAAUGCGUAGAUAUGCGGAGGAACACCGAUGGCGAAGGCAAUCCCCUGGGCCUGCACUGACGCUCAUGCACGAAAGCGUGGGGAGCAAACAGGAUUAGAUACCCCUGUAGUCCCUGUCUCUUAUAC
rnacentral:rRNA from 1 species